AUGUUUAUACUUUCACAAUUGUUAUGUUUUCCUGUUGAACAUUCAUCAUUACAAAUGUUUCUUUUUUUAAAAUUUUUUUAUUGCAUUUUAGGUUUUGGGGUACAUGUGCAGAACAUGCAAGACAGUUGCAUAGGUGCCCCAGUCACCGGCCGAAAAUGUGCCAGCAUCUAUACAAUUUCCGUUGCGGUGACCAUGCCAACUGAAACAGCUGCCCUGAGAUUUGUGGCGCUUUUCUGCCCGGGAAUCUCCUGGUCUGGCUCUGGGCUCCAGUCCCCCUCCCAAUCUGCUGAAUGGGUGACUCUGCCUUCUAGGAGCGCCAAACGCCAACUAAAAGGGCACCCAAUCCCCUAUACUCCACACUGAGAACUGCUGCACCAGCCAAAAGAGUCACGCUGGCGACCUGUGGGGCUCCUCCGCUGGGAAUCUCCUGGUCCAUAAGCAAAAAAAAUUCGUCCGGAAGUCUGGCAUCCACUCAGUCCCUGCUCCUUCACUGGGACCUGCAACCCUGAGCUGCUGUUAGACGGCCAUCUUGGAUCUCUCUCUAUUUAUGUAUUUCGUUUUUUUUUUUUUUUUUCUUUUUUUUAAUUGCAUUUUAGGUUUUGGGGUACAUGUGAAGAACAUGUAAGAUAGUUGCAUAGGUACACACUAAUACCUUGCAGUGAGGAUAUAUCACAAUCUGUCCUAUUAAUACUUAUCGUACUAUAUAAUGGGCUUUUAACGUGCUUCAGAUUUUGACUAUUAUGCAUGAAAUUGCUGUUAAAAUUGAUUGACAAGCCUUCUGUAUGCAUGUAUUUUCAUUGUAAGUACAUAUGUAUUUAAAAUUUUAAGACACUUGAUUGUGUUUUCCUCAUAUCCUAUAGCUAGGAUUAUUGCCCCUCUGUACAAAAUUAGGAUUUCUGUUGGUGAGAAAGAAAUGAAGAAUAACUAGUAUUUAGUCAUUAAAAAUGAUAAACCAUGGGGUAUUUCACCACAUGCUGAUAUAGUCUAAUUGAUGAGCUUUGAGCCACCAUGGAUAUUUAUUUUAAAAUUGUAGGUACACCGUACGGAGAUUGCAGAUUAUUUAAGCUGUAAAGCACCCUUAGAAUUGAGAUAAUUGUCCCAUUCUCAUGUUAUUUAAGGAAAAAUCCUCAUUUUCCUUGUUUAUCAAACACCAUCCAAGGGUGGUGGAUAAAUUUAUACUGAUUUGCCAGACCCUCUUUACUUUUCACUAUUAUUUUUUGAUUGUCAGAAGCUCUCUUUAAAACAAUCUCAUGACAAUAAAUCCCAACUGAACAUCAGAUUGCACUUUAUGUUUAUAAUAUUUUAGAAUGUUUGCUGAUGAUUUUCAGCAUGUGUGUAGUUUCAGUAUUGUCAGUCAAUUUUCAUUUGUUUCACUUUCAGUUCUCAGAGUGGAAUUUUCUGAGUUUCUAAAAGUAUGCGCUCUUUCAGGAUACUAUACUGUUCUAUAUGAUACACAGAUGGCUUGCAAUUCUGUAGAACAGAAAAUCCAGAGCGUGUUUUUGCCCAUGAUUUGGAGUCAUCCCUUUUUCUCAUAAGCUCUACUAUAUUCUACUAUAUUGUUCUAUUUUACCUUCUGAGUUUCUAGAGAUGACCCUAGAGAAAAGCCAAAUGAGUGAAGCCUGCCUUCAAUCUAUACUUAUUUCUUGAUUUAUAUUUUCUCUCUUUCCCUUAUGAAAACCUUUACUGUGGAAAUACUCUGAGGAGCCUUAUCAACAGUAAUCACUUUAAUUAUUAUUCUAUCAAAGGGAAUUUGCUUUACCAGGGGUUAGACAAGUAAAGUAAUAAUAAUAAUGAAAUUUUAGCACUUUUAAAUCGGUUGGAGGAGGAAUCCUUAAGAAAAUCUAGUGCAAAAGAAGAGAAAGAGGAUGAUGCUUUUAGAAACAUGACAUUUGGGAAAUUUCCCCAUUCUGACUAAACCAAUUCAAAAGAAUGUCCUACACUAAGCCACUUACCUUGAAUCUGUUUUUGCCUUAAAAAUAAAAAGCUGAAUAUAUGCAAAAUCAAAUGUAAUGCACAGUCAUCAGCUAUUUUUAUUUAUCAAUGAAGAGUCUUAAAUCAUCACUAGAUUUUAAUAUCUAGAAUAGUAGUUUAACUGAUACAAGAUAGUUAUUCACUGUCUCUGGAUUUAAGGCAACAGAAGGAUUUAAGGCUGACUGUACAUCAGAUACAGUAGAAUUACAAAAAUCAGAAUAUAAAAUAGAAUUCAAAUAAUAAUUUACUGCUUCAAUCAAAUUCAAUUGUAUUUUUUAUCAAAGAAGACUGAUAAAUAUUAACUGAUUACUUUUAUAUUAUUUUUAAAAACCCAUAUGGAUGUAUCAAUAUGGAUACCGCUGGCACUGAAAGAUAGGACAGAAAAGUUUAUACCAGAAACCAAUUCUUUAUAUUCUGUUUACUAGACAAUGGAGAAACUAUCAAUUCGUUAAUACAUGAGUUUCCAAAUACCAGAAUGUGGAAAUUUAUAAAGCUCCUGGGAUAUGUGUCACCCAGAGAAAACAAAAUAACUUGUCUGGAUACCAAAUAUAGAAGAAAAAUACAAAUUUUGUUUUAAAGUAACAUACUAUUUUUUUUCCUUUUUUUUUUUUUUUGAGAUGGAGUCUGGUUCUGUUGCCCAGGCUAGAGUACAAUGAUGUGACCUCAGCUCACUGCAACCUCCACCUCAUGGGGUCAAGCUAUUCUCCCUGCCUCAGCCUCCCGAGCAGCUGAGAUUACAGGCACUGCCACCAUGCUCAGAUAAUUUUUGUAUUUUUAGUAAAGACAGGAUUUUACUAUGUUGGCCAGGCUAGUCUCGAACUUCUGAUCUUGGGUGAUCUGCCUGCCUCGGUCUCCCAAAGUGCUGGGAUUACAGGUGUGAGCUACCACGCCCAGCCCAUUAUUAACAUACUUGUUACUAACAACUAGUAAUGUCAUUAGUAUGUUACUAAUGUUUUAGUAUGUUACUAAUGUCAGUUUGUUACUGUCAACAUAUUUUAGUAUGUUACUAAUAUUUAGCAUGUUACUAAUGUCAAUCUGGGAUUCAUGCAUUUAUUUCAAAAUAUAUGUUGUUGGAUUAUCAGUGGAAUCCAAUGAACCAGCUAUACAGUUUCCAGGAUGCGAACUCUUUCAAUAAAAGUGGCAUAUAAUAUAGAUAUAAAAUAUAAAUAACAUAUAUAUAAACAAUAUACAUUUUGUUAUGUAUAAAAUAGCUCAAUAAACAAAUGAAUCACUAAAUAAUGCUUUUUUCUCUGUCAAUAUAUAUGAUCACAUAUUUGGCUGAUGGCAGAGAAGGUACCAUCAUGAGAUUUCAAGAGUAAAUAAUCUGUUAGAUAUGCAUCACUUCUUACUUUCUUCACUAAUUUUUCCUGUGAAAUGGUGCUGGUGUCUUCAAAUCCAAUAGAGAAAUGCAUGCAAAGAGAAUUUUUUACAUGUGGUGAAAGCUUAAAGGUUAAAUGAGAUUAUACUCAAUCCCUUGAGAUAAAUCUUUAAAAAGUCAAUGGUCUUCACUGAUGUCCAGCAAAAAUGGUAAUGCACAAGGGGUCAAAACUACUCAGACCUGAGUUUUAGCAGUUUUUGGCAACUGUUUUGAUACUGACAGAAAAUCUAUGUGUGGCAAAGAGAAUGAUACAAGGAACAACAGCAUGGUAAACUACAUCAGUGUUUAUAAAACUACUGUCCAUACCACUGGCAUUAACUUCGUGUUCAAUUUGUGUAUGGAGUCUUUUUUGUGCCAAGAUGGAGAACCUGGCUGAGAAGAUAUGUACCUGUAAAACAUCCACUUAGAGGCAACACUUCACAGUGACUACAAAGAAAAAGAACAAUGAGCAAUAAAAGAACACUGUGUUUUGGGGAAACAGGACUGUCUUUGUUCCUUUUAUUUAAUUAGAUGACUAUCAAACUAUGUUGGUAACUAAAAAAUAGUAAUCUGCCAGGAAAGAAAAAGAAUGCUGAUAGUAGAAUUCUGCUAAACAGUAUUCAAAUACACUUUAAUGAAAAUAUUUCUCAGUUCAGCUGACCUUCAUACUUUUUACUGGUACAGAGAAAACAUACAGAGUUUAAGCUGCAGUUUUCCGUAACUAGUUACAAUUUAUGUGUAUCUUGGUUAUAUUUAGCUAAUAUUAUAAUUCAUUGCAUGUAGGAUUCCCAUUUGUCUGGGACCCAUCUCUAAACUGAUAUUUUGAAUUAAUAGUUUUGAAUUAAUUGCCUGAUAUUUCUCAGGCAUCAUGAUAUAAAAUAAUCAGAAGGCUUGUGCUGAUUCUUGAAUUUACUAGCAGUCAAAAUAGAAAAUGUCUCUAUUUCUAAGUGUCCUAGUUUUCUCACCUGUUAUAUGUGAAUAAUUUGCAUUGCCUUCCCUGAAGAUAAAAUAUCAUUAUAGAUGGGGAAAUGGCUUUUACACUGCAAAGUGAUGUACAAAUGUGAGGUCCUAUCAUCAUCAUCAACCUGCUGACAUAAGCAUCUCAUUUCAGCCACUCAGUGGCUAAACAGAACUGUUUUCUCUUUUCUUAUAUUGCUGAUAAACUCUCAUGCAUUGGGGAUAUUUUCAGGACUGUCACCUGUCAUGCAUGGGAUUGGGACAAAUGUCACACUUGAUAGGAUGUGGUUUAAAGAAUUAUCUGUGUGGUUUGAAUCAACAAGGCAGAGAAUGGAAGCAGCCCCAAGUUUCCCAUCAUCCCAUGGAGAGUGAUAUUUGUUCUAAUACUUCUUACUACCUCUGGAUCACUUCAUACAGAAGACAUUCAAAGAAGGAUCUCCUCAGGAAAAAAUAAGCAGGCUGUUUGGCACAGACAAUUUCUAUUAGAGAGUGUUGCGUGCUAACAGAGUGUCUGGGAAAGUUAGGUAACCUGCACCUGUUCAUCAAGGGACAGCUGAGAAACAAAGUCCUUGGGAUGCUGCAUGCCAAAGAGAGGGCACCACUGAUCCUAUGAUAAAUCAAGUUUGGUUUCUCCUCAAGCUGAGAUAUUAAGUCUGCUGAAAUCCAGCUAGCCCUGGGUUUAAGGAAUGUAGAGUGAGCCCUUAAGAUCUGAAACAGCCCCGAUUCUUGUAUGAUACAGUCUCAGUACUCAUUCUCUAAGAAGAGACUAUUUUACUCCUAAAUUCACCAAAACUAG
ensembl:lncRNA